UAAAAUUUCAGUGCAGCUGCUUCUCACAAAGUUAAAGGCUAUUUUAACCAUAUAUCUUUUCAGAAAUACUCUCAUAACUCAGGAAGGACCCUUGCUUCUCCUUCAGGGCCACGAAAGGCUUAGCACAUCUGGUGUUAUUAUACCUCCCUGCAGGGUCCGAGGCGCUGUGUUAUGCACAGUAUGCCAGAAUGGAAGUGAAGUGCUUUUGCUGCAUCCCAGGAAUUUCUCCUUUCCAUCAUAGGUGGGGGACAAGUGUUUCUCAUAGUGUUAAAGAGGCAUACGUACAGAAAAAAUCACAAAAAAGAAUAGUGUUAACUAGGAAUAGCUGAUCUUCAACGAUUUGUUCAAAAGGCUUUCCCCAUUAACUUGCCUGUCUUUCUCUCAGGCCUAUUUGCUUAGGUUGUAUCUUUUUUAAUAAUAAGAAAUCUAAAUAAAUGAACAGCAAGCAACCAAAGACCCAGCAUUACAUUUGCGUUUCACCAGGGACUGCUCAGAACGAAGAUAAUCAAAGCAGCUCCAGGCUUCUCAGAGACAUCUUAAGGAGUACAGUGGAAAGAAAAUGGAAAAACAAAUGCCUCCAAACCUGAUGCAACAAUAAAAACAUGGAAAUAAAAAGCUUCUUGAAUGUGUUCCUGAUAUAACAAGUGUUUGUUUGAAAAAACACUGAAAAUACGUUUGGACAGAAGACAGGUAGGUGUUCUUUGUUGCAUUGCACUUGCCUUAGAAUUUCCUUCCAAUUCUAAGCUACUGAAGAAUCGUAUUGAAAGGAACUGGUCAAGAAAAUAACUAAAAAUACAGUACUUGAAGAGUUAAGAUUUAGAUUAAGUUUUAAAAUUAUAAUGAGGUAGAUUUUAAAUUAGUGACAGAAAAGCAAUUUACUUUAAAAUAAAAUGCCUUCCUGUCAGUCUGUUUUUGCUCUGCUCUUUCACUUUCUUUCUGACUUUUCAGAAAGGAAAAGAGGACAAAAUAGGAAAAUGGAAGGUAAAUAACAGUAUAUCUUCUUUGAGAAAGGUAUGUGUGGGAAGCUGUAUUCUGUCUUCAAAGAUCAGCUGAG
rnacentral:lncRNA from 1 species